rnacentral:rRNA from 1 species
UACGGGGGGAGCAAGCGUUGUUCGGAUUUACUGGGCGUAAAGGGCGCGUAGGCGGCCACCGCAAGUCGACUGUGAAAUCUCCAGGGCUCAACCCGGAAACUGCUUUACAUACUGCAAGACUGGAGUGAUGAAGAGGUUUGUGGAAUUCCUGGUGUAACGGUGAAAUGUGUUGAUAUCAGGAGGAACACCCAUGGCGAAGGCAGCAAACUGGUCAUCAACUGACGCUGAGGUGCGAAAGCGUGGGGGAGCAAACAGG